rnacentral:rRNA from 1 species
AGUGAACGCUGGCGGUAGGCCUAACACAUGCAAGUCGAACGGCAGCACAAGAGAGCUUGCUCUCUGGGUGGCGAGUGGCGGACGGGUGAGGAAUACAUCGGAAUCUACUCUGUCGUGGGGGAUAACGUAAGGAGACUUACGCUAAUACCGCAUACGACCUACGGGUGAAAGCAGGGGACCUUCGGGCCUUGCGCGAUUGAAUGAGCCGAUGUCGGAUUAGCUAGUUGGCGGGGUAAAGGCCCACCAAGGCGACGAUCCGUAGCUGGUCUGAGAGGAUGAUCAGCCACACUGGAACUGAGACACGGUCCAGACUCCUACGGGAGGAAGCAGUGGGGAAUAUUGGACAAUGGGCGCAAGCCUGAUCCAGCCAUACCGCGUGGGUGAAGAAGGCCUUCGGGUUGUAAAGCCCUUUUGUUGGGAAAGAAAUCCAGCUGGCUAAUACCCGGUUGGGAUGACGGUACCCAAAGAAUAAGCACCGGCUAACUUCGUGCCAGCAGCAGCCGCAG